rnacentral:rRNA from 1 species
GGGCCCGCACAAGCGGUGGAGCAUGUGGUUUAAUUCGACGCAACGCGAAGAACCUUACCUACACUUGACAUCCUCGGAACUUUCUAGAGAUAGAUUGGUGCCUUCGGGAACCGAGUGACAGGUGCUGCAUGGCUGUCGUCAGCUCGUGUCGUGAGAUGUUGGGUUAAGUCCCGUAACGAGCGCAACCCUUAUCCUUAAUUGCCAGCGGUUAGGCCGGGAACUCUAAGGAGACUGCCGAUGACAAAUCGGAGGAAGGUGGGGACGACGUCAAGUCAUCAUGGCCCUUACGUGUAGGGCUACACACGUGCUACAAUGGUAGUGACAAUGGGUUAAUCCCAAAAGCUAUCUCAGUUCGGAUUGUCGUCUGCAACUCGACGGCAUG